rnacentral:rRNA from 1 species
CCUACGGGGAGCAGCAGUAGGGAAUCUUCCACAAUGGACGAAAGUCUGAUGGAGCAACGCCGCGUGAGUGAAGAAGGGUUUCGGCUCGUAAAGCUCUGGUGGUAGGGAAGAAAGAUAGAGGUAGUAACUGGCCUUUAGUUGACGGUAAGUACGGAGAAAGGGACGGCUAACUACGUGCCAGCAGCCGCGGUAAUACGUAGGUGGCAAGCGUUGUCCGGGUUGAUUGGGCGUAAAGCGAGUGCAGGCGGUUCAAUACGUCUGAGGUGAAAGCCUUCGGCUCAACCGGAUAAUUGCAUCAGAAACUUUUGAACUUGAGUGCAGAAGAGGAGAGUGGAACUCCCUGUGUAGCGGU